GCCAGCAGCCGCGGUAAUACGGAGGGUGCAAGCGUUGUUCGGAUUUAUUGGGCGUAAAGCGCGUGUAGGCGGUUUCUUAAGUCUGAUGUGAAAGCCCUGGGCUCAACCCAGGAAGUGCAUUGGAUACUGGGAGACUUGAAUACGGGAGAGGGUAGUGGAAUUCCUAGUGUAGGAGUGAAAUCCGUAGAUAUUAGGAGGAACACCGGUGGCGAAGGCGGCUACCUGGACCGAUAUUGACGCUGAGACGCGAAAGCGUGGGGAGCAAACAGGAUUAGAUACCCUGGUAGUCCACGCCGUAAACGAUGAGAACUAGGUGUCGCGGGUA
rnacentral:rRNA from 1 species